rnacentral:rRNA from 1 species
GUGGGGAAUAUUGGACAAUGGGCGAAAGCCUGAUCCAGCCAUGCCGCGUGUGUGAAGAAGGUCUUCGGAUUGUAAAGCACUUUAAGUUGGGAGGAAGGGUUGUAGAUUAAUACUCUGCAAUUUUGACGUUACCGACAGAAUAAGCACCGGCUAACUUCGUGCCAGCAGCCGCGGUUAUACGAAGGGUGCAAGCGUUAAUCGGAAUUACUGGGCGUAAAGCGCGCGUAGGUGGUUUUGUAAGUUGGAGGUGAAAUCCCCGGGCUCAACCUGGGAACUGCCUCCAAAACUGCAUGACUAGAGUACGGUAGAGGGUAGUGGAAUGUCCUGUGUAGCGGUGAAAUGCGUAGAUAUAGGAAGGAACACCAGUGGCGAAGGCGACUACCUGGACUGAUACUGACACUGAGGUGCGAAAGCGUGGGGAGCAAACAGGAUUAGAUACCCCAGUAGUCC